CGAGCUACCAUGCAGUCGAGCGCCCCGCAGGGGGAGCGGCAGACGGGUGAGUAACGCGUGGGAAUCUACCCAUCACUACGGAACAACUCCGGGAAACUGGAGCUAAUACCGUAUACGUCCUUCGGGAGAAAGAUUUAUCGGUGAUGGAUGAGCCCGCGUUGGGUUAGCUAGUUGGUGGGGUAAUGGCCUACCAAGGCGACGAUCCAUAGCUGGUCUGAGAGGAUGAUCAGCCACACUGGGACUGAGACACGGCCCAGACUCCUACGGGAGGCAGCAGUGGGGAAUAUUGGACAAUGGGCGCAAGCCUGAUCCAGCCAUGCCGCGUGAGUGAUGAAGGCCCUAGGGUUGUAAAGCUCUUUCAACGGUGAAGAUAAUGACGGUAACCGUAAAAAAAGCCCCGGCUAACUUCGUGCCAGCGCCCCGGGGAAAAUAA
rnacentral:rRNA from 1 species